UCCCUGAUGGUCCAGUGGUUGAGACUCUGGGCUUCUAAUGCAGGGGCUUGCAGGUUCGAUCCCUGGUCAGGGAA
rnacentral:tRNA from 1 species